UGCCUGUGCAGACUUUGGCUCUUGGUUUAGCGUGGCAGUGGGCCAGCUCUCAAACACUGUGCAGACAUAUUUCUCCUUCCAAUUCUUGGCUUUUCUGUUGUCAGGAGAAUCAAAAAAGACCAACUGGGGUGAUAGUUCUUGUGAGGAGGACACACAGUCACCAAGAUCCUGACUGAAACAAGCAAUUAUUUCCCAGCCGGGUGGAUACUGCCACCCCCACUUUUGCUGCCUCAGCUACUGCUCCGUUAGCAAGGAGUGCUGCUGAGCCCUGGGCCAGCUCUCAGCGCAGCGGACUGCACUGUGUUUAUCCAAACAGCGUGGCUCCCCAGAGACCUCCUCAGAUCCUCCAGCUCUGCUACUCUGGACUUCAAGUAUUUGUAUUUAAAAUGCACUGUCUUCCAAUCCUUACAGAAAUGGGACAAACAGAUACACAGUUUAGUCCUGAGUUUGAGCAUGAAAUACUUUUAGCAGUCUAGGCUAUAAAUCCUUCGGCUGGAUGAAGGGAGAGUUUAUCAGGGAAAAGAUUAAGUUUAAACCCAGCAUUUCCAUGUUGAUAGCGGCAUUAUUAUUGCCAUCAAGUGCAUGCACUGCAUAUCUCACUAGUAAGUAGGUCUAGCGUAUCAUUCAGCUUCAAGGUCUGUUCAAAGGAUUUUUUGUUGUGCUCUCGUUAGCUUUGGAUUGAUCUUGCUUUCUUCCCCUUAAGUUUUUGUUUGUUUGAGGGACAAGUUUUAGAAUAAUUUUAUAAGCAUUUACAAAGACAAAGCUAAAUCUACUCAGGCCAUCUCAUGUCAUGGUGCACAAAUACUCCAGCUGAAAAUUAAGGCUUUACUUUGAUGCCAACCUCCCUGAAGAACAAGAUCUAUGGACAAUAACCUGAUAGAGUACCUUCUGCAAAAAGAGGACACCAUUCCCAGUCAAAAUCUCCUCCACUGCUGUUCUUCAGACUUAGCGAUCUUAUAUGAUCAUCAAACCCUUCCCAGAGUCCUCUCAGAGCAAUUUGUGCCCUGCAAAAUGCCACUUACCUUCCAGCUCUCUGAUCCAACAUAACGCAGUUGUUGCCUCCCCUGGUUUUCUGCAGUUUUUACCUGCAAGUAUGAAUGUUAUGGCAAUACUUAUUGCUCUAGGUGCUUUUGAUCAGUCCCAAAAGUUAUUUGUUUCUGGCCCUGUCUUUUCUGUUGAGCAUCAAUUGUGUGAGGAAUCCGAAGCUCAAGUCUCCAGUAUUUCCUGGAAGCAAGAAGCUGGGGGAGAAAAUGAAGAGAGAUCCAUCGUAAGUCUACGCAGCUCACUCCGGUUCCUGCAUUAUCCUGAACUUAAACAGCGGCCUUCUGACUCCUGAAGCAACGUUCAUCAGUUCUUUGCUCUGGGCAGCACUUGUUUCACUAACUUGAAUCACCUCAAAGUCAAGUGCCUGGACUCUCUUUUCCAGUUAAUGAUGAGAAAUCGCCACCUUCACAAUGUGAUUCAUCUCUGCUGGUUUAGACAUCUCAGCUGGGGCUUGCACUCCACCCACCUGUUUCUAUGGGAUCUGUGGCUAAAUAAAAGACAUCAAUGUACUCAUGUGUAUGAGUUC